AGCUGAGCGGGCAGUACAAACGUGCACGCAUUCCAACGCCGCCCUGGGCCACGGCACUGGCACUGCGAUCCUGCGCUCACCGCUGAUGUUUGUACAGGCUUAUAGCAGUCAAGCGCCGAGUACGACGCAUUGCAGACAGAUCAAGGAAGAGCGGCUCGUAAGAGCGGAUCCUGGAGGCAUCGGGGCUUUCAAAAUCCCCGCGCUGUGGACGCGGCCCGCCCAAGAAGCAAACCGGACGCCACACUCGUAGGAAAGUAAAAGGAAAAGUGCUGGGAGCACGGAAUCAUCGCCAAGCGCAAACCGGAGCUUCGAAAGAUUUAUUAGAUUUCUCAACGGAAUACCUGUGCGCACACCGUAGGAAAUGUCUUGCUGCGUCCACUACACUGCUCAUUGAUUCAAGCGCGCUGACGGUAAUUCUACCAGUGAAGCCACAGGGGAUACCACCGGCAAGACGCGCUCGAAGCCACAGUGAGUGAAUCAAUGGACAUUGACUAAUUAUGUCAGGUGAUGUACGUAUGUAUAGUUGUACAUGUUUCAAUAGGGCGAAUUUCUAAAACAUUACAUAUUGUGGCGAGUGGAGCCGAGUGCGCGGGACGGACGCAGUGCAGAAAGAAAUGGUGUGUGAUGACGCGCUGCGUCGUGGCACGCGAGAAGAGAGCUCGUGCCGCGAUUGGAUUUCGGAGGGCUCGGCAGAAGGAGCUCGGACCCGGUCGCCUGCGUGUUCAUGGAACGCAACCAGGUCAGCCCACACACAAGCGGGUAACGGUCCCGUCGGGCAGCCGUCCGGGAGUCAUCGGAGCCAGGGAACGGCUCCGGCUGCUGACGGUCCGCCCGGUUGACCUUGCCAGCCGUCCCGCCCGAGGUACGCCGUCGCAACCAGACAGCGCUGCAGCUCACGCGGCUGCCAGCCAUGCUGAUGACCCUGCACCCAGACCGGAGCCAGCGGAACUCACCGCCAACGGCCAGUCACGCUCCACGAGCCCGAGCGGUGAGCUUCUUCCGCACCCGCGGGGCCUGAUUCGCGACUGGUUCGCCUGACGUCCCGGCCACGGUCAGUCGGCAAACCUUGGUGACCUUGUCGUGGGUGAGUCGCCGGACGAGCGGCAACGGGCGCUUCAAGCCGGCGACCUCUAUCGCAUGGCCACGGACAUUUAGGCGCGCUCCGCGAAGCCGCCUCUAGACUUGUUCAAGUGUUUGUCGUGCCCUUGUUUUUAAGUGUGCGUUUCCAAAUGCGAUGCGCGCCCUGAUAAAUAACACAUAAAAGCAAUGUCUGUUCGCCACGUCUUCCGCACUGUCUGUUGAGCCCCUGGCCUCACGAACCUCAAUCACUGUAUUCAUUAUCUCUAAGAAUGCAAUGCGAUAUAAACGUUUCAUCUGCACAAUUUGCGUUGUACGUUUCGCUUCAGAGAAUUAGCACGCCUCGAGAGUGCCCUUGCACUACCAAUAAAAUUCAACAAAACAAUAUUUCUCACUACGUAGCGCACAAAUAGGGAUACGGCUGCCAAAUUUAUUUAUUUGUAUUAUAAGUUCUCUGCGCAAAAAACCCGAGUAAAGUAGAUUAUGGAAAUCCAACGGGCAUUGCGGAAUCGAUGCGAAGGGAGCUUUAGGGAAGCGGUUAAGGAAAUUAUGUAGAUUUUUCCAUUUUGCUGCGGCAUCUACGGUGUAGAGGCUCGAUCGCUGUGUCGGUUACAUAAUUCAGUUUGUGUGUGUGUGCGUGUGUAUGUGUGUGUAUGUGUGUGUGUGUGUUCAUGUGUGUGUGUGUGUGUGUGCGUGUGUGUGUGUGUGCGCGGGUGUGUGUGGGUGCGUGCGUGCGUGCGUGCGUGCGCGCUACAUGAAAAGACAGCAGCAUCCAUGCUCAGGAAAAUCCGGGAGGGCUCGGAAGGUAGGCUUCACAUUAAUAAAAAUAGAAGUGAUGGGAAAACUCUUCCACGAACACAAUGGCUUUACUGUU